GACUCUGUUUCAGAACUCUCUUUUGUUUUUUACUGAUCCUGAAGGUUAUGAGACAGAUUCGAGCUUAUUCUACACUAAUUCUGUACUGAUGUUACACCACUGACUCUUGUUUUAUUAAGGCUCAUCUUCACUUGGUCAACUGGAAAGUGUGACAUUGCCUUAUGGAUACAUGAAAUAGUCAGACCUAAGCAGCUCUCCACCUGCUUGUGUCUGAAUUUACAAAGUAAGCUUCCCCUUGCUCCGUUUGGGUUGAGGCAGCAGGAGUGUUUCCAUGAGAUGCUCAGCUGGAAGAUGAGCCCUCAGGUCAAGGCUGGGGUGAAUGGCAAGUCAUGUGGCAAAGCUGGAGGCAGGUCAGUCUCCCUGGAUCAGCACUUGGAUCCAGAAUGAAAUGCCUCAUUCCUGCUCAUUUGACAUAAACACCUUGGCUUAUACAUCUCCUACUGCUUUCCUUCAAGUUUCUCCCCAUGGUGCCUUACAUAUGUAGGAUGAUUUGGGAAAAAACACCACCUUGCCACCUCCCUCCUGGCUGCCUAUCCUUCCUUCAAAUGCCUUUCCUGGUUGCAAAGCUGGUGCCAUCUGUCAACUUUGUACUGUGAUUAAUGUUUAUUUUUUUUGCCCAGUAGAAUGCUCAGCUUCUUGUUGCCUAAUUUCAGCCUUUCUGCCAUCUUCUCAUUUUCCCAUUUAUUUCAUACAUCCAUUGCAAAUGAUUAGCUCUUAAAAGUUGGAAUGGUUUCCUCAGCAAAUAGGGCAAUUAUGUUCUGUACAUCCUCAGAUAACUGUUGAACGUACCAGUUGAUUUAAUUUGGCUGCUGGAGAGUGGGCUCAAAGCUAAUUGAAUUCCUGCAAGUUUUGUGCAAGCAGGCAGCCAGCUGGAGCAGAGAGGAACCCCGGAGUCACAUGCCAGAAAGAAAAGUAGCAGAUACAUUUUAUCUUGGUAGAUACCAGAGUAUUCAUAAGGGAGACACAAUAGUUACGCACCAAAAAAAGUGUUUCAUUUUAUACCUCCAAAUAAUUAUGAAAGACAAACCCAUAAGAAACCUUGACCCUUCUAGUGUUUAUUAAGUUAGUUUUAGGUUGUUUGCACUGUGAUUGUGACAAUAGUUUUAGAUUCCUGAAAGGAAUUCUUAAUGUGUUACUAAAGAUCAUGAAAAAUAUAACUGUAAUAAUACUGAUAAAGAUUAAAGGCAGACAAAGGAAAUCUAAUCACCAAAGAUUCAUUUGGCAACUGCAUGGCACAAAAUCUCACCCCACAAUUAGUCUUCACCCACUCCACUCCCCUUCCAUUGACAACCUUAAAAUUAGUCAGAUAAUGUGUAGAAGUGUAAUCUCACAAGAAAUGAGCUGACUUGGAAAUGGCAAAUGCUGCAUCUAAACCUAGCUCCAGGUUUCCUGACUGCUUAUACAGAAAAGGUAAUAAGGACAGUACUGAAAUCAGUGUGAUGUUUUGGAUGGUGAUACAUGCCUGCCCAGAAGUGGAGAAAAAGGGAGGAUAUAACCACACAUUGUCUCUUUUUUUUCCGUAAAAAGGUACUUUGCCAUUUUAAAGCAAUUCCAUAAAAAAAAUAAAAAUGAAUAAAAACAAAAAGACUUAUGCAACAGUUUGGCUGACAGGUUUCAUGCAGUAGUGCCAUGUUACAGAGAUAAACAUCAGUGCUUAGCUUACAGAUUGUCUCAACACCUGGAAAGCUGUUAUAGAGACAGGUUUAAUAAUUAAUUGCUGUUUCUCUGAGACAAUGUACCCUGGAUCUCUUAAGGUGCAUAUUGCACACCAGGUAACAGGAGGAUUAGGCAAAAGAGACAAAAGCAUUGGAAAAGAUAAAACUACUGAGGUUAAAUGACAUUAUGGUGGAAAUGGGUCUAUAUUAAUCUGAUCCUGCAUGGAGGUUGCCUGGAAGUGUUUUGAUAUACUCGAUGUCAAAAUAUUUGUAUUCCAAUGUUGCUUUCAAGUAAAUGAUUUGCAGCUGGUGGCAGGAAAGAAGAUGGAAACAGAUAAAUUACUUGAUAUGACUCAGUUGGUUUUAUGUCAUGUCACCAUGCACAGUUGAAAAUAUUGAGGAGUUGUUUUAUAACCAGAAAAAUAUGAUAUCUGGAAAUGAUGUUGGAAGGUCCCUACAGGAUGUAUUUUUCUGUAUGUAAUAUAUACUUUUCUCAUCUAUGUUUAGCAGUACAUUUUUCUGUGCAAGCUAUAAACCUAUAAAAAUUAAAUGCUACAGUGAAGGGAGAUGUAAGAAAAAAUAUUAGUCUGCUGGGCUCCUUAAUGACCAUUACCCAAACCACAAACCUGGACUGUAUUCUGGCAGCAGAGGAGCACUAACACCAAUUUCUAUCUGUGCCUCAGGCACCUCCACAUGUCAGUUGCCAUCACUUAAUACAUACUGGGAACCUGUGUAUUAACAUAGGGGUAUUGAGAACAAAAGUAAUGGCAGCUGAUGGCACAGAGCUGCACAUUCUGGUAGCAGUGAAACUUCAGUACAGAGUGUAAUCUUAUCAUACAAGUUAAUUUGACCAAAUGUGUAUGUUUUCUGAAGUUAAGAUUCUCAUCUUAAUGAAACUGAUGAAAUGAGGGAAAUUACGAACACAUCUAAGAUGUCUACAAGGACAGGGCUAACUGCUGAUGCCUGCUGUGCUGCAUUUAGACUGCCAGUGAUCAGUGUGUCUUCAGUCAUUGAGCAAAUCCCAUUGACAUCCUGGGCAAGAUGCAAAUCCUCUUUCACCAGGUUUUUAUUGCUGAGGAGGAUCUUGAUUUCAGUGAGUCAGAUAGUGUUCUUUUGUGAACAUGUCAGCUCAGAUGGCUUUGUUUCAUAUGUUUCCUUAUGAAUUGAAGCUGGCUCUCGAGCUUCUUUGGUAAGCACAGUGCACAAAUUGAAAUACUAAUCAUGGAUCUGUGUAGCUCAACUACUUGUACAGAUGGGUCUGAUGCUGUUGGUUGCAUUUUCCCAUUGCUACUGCAAAAGGAAGGAACUCCUGAGCUGGAACAGGGGUUUAAUAGAGGAAAUUAUUUGGGAUUGCAAAGGCCUCUCUGAGACAGCUGCUGAGGAAAAGCUCUGUUGGCAAGCUUGCUCUUGGUUUGUGUCCAGAUUUUCAAAAUAAAAGUCAACCUAAGCCAACUGAAGACUACUUUUAUACUACCUGAGUUUCUUAACCUGUGCUUUAUAAUAAUUUCUGGUAGCUUUCAUCAUGUUUUGCAAAGAAAAACUUUCCUAGGCUGA